UUAAAAGCCAUUAGUAUUACUAAAUAAUAUAUAAUAACAUAUAUGGUAAGUUAAUACAUAUAAUAUAUGGUAAGUUACUACAUGUCUAAAUCUAGAAAAUUAUGCAAGAAUAUAUGCAAUCCAUAUAGUCUAUAUUAUAGAAAUAAAAGUUCAACUAAUCCUUUACUAGAAGUAAAGAUUUAGUUGAACAAUUAUUUCUAUAAUAUAGACUAAAUGGAUUAUUUAUAGUCUUGUUUAACUUUAUAUUUUUGACAUAUGACAUGUAGUAACAUACCAUAUUAGUUUAAAUCAGUUGUAAAGUUAAAAAUGUUAACAUCUUUGAUAGAUAUAUUUGUUUAGGUUAAUUACAGCUAAGUUUACAUGGCUAGUUAAUAUGCUUUUAUAAAUUGCAAUUUUUAUUAAUUUCCAAAUUAAACAUGUGGCAUCCAAUAUCAUAAACUAAGAUUAUACUGGUGUGUUUAUAUUAUUUUAGAAUUUUUUGUUUUAGACACAUGGCAUUUGUUAUCCCACUAAUUUGCUGCUUUAGAGGCAUGGCAUUUAGUGUCACAUUAAUUUACUGUUUUAGACACGUGGCAUGUGGUAUCCCACUGAGUUGACAGCAUGGUGUCCGAUUUAAAGUGCGAACCUGUGUACGAGUAACAACAGUAUU